rfam:Schistosoma haematobium scaffold1237_2, whole genome shotgun sequence.
GCACUACUGAGGAGUCCCACAACAGGACCAAACGGUCGUCUAGUGC